GGUCCCGUAGCUCAGUUGGAUAGAGCGGCGGUUUCCUAAACCGCAGGCCACAGGUUCGAUUCCUGUCGGGGCCG
rnacentral:tRNA from 2 species